GAGAAAGGGCCUUUUCAGACAGGGAUAGUGACAGGACAAGAUGUAGCUACUAGUGUCUUCUGGAUUAGUUGGUGAAUCUCACAGAAGAUUUAGAUUUAAUACCCUUACAAGGCGAGAAGCAGAAGAAAGCCAACCGGAAGGCUUACGGCAAACGCUUGCACACAGAACUGCAGCAGAUCCUAGUUUGAAACAGAACAUCUCCAAGUCAGGAGUAGAAGCCAGAAGGUGACAUGUGGCGAAUGUUGUCCCUGAGUCUCCACAGGACAUCUGGGAUAAGAAUACGUGUCAUUAACUCUCAGCUGAUAU
rnacentral:lncRNA from 1 species